CAACGGCGGAUGAAGCGCGCGCUGCUUGCUCUUUAAUAUGGAGAGUUAUCUGAUUGGUGCGUCCAACAACGCCGGCAGGAGUAACCAGCCUCGAAAUAGCUUAUAUGUUAAUUAUAAAAGUUGACCUCGGUCCAGUACUUUUGGCUGAUCGAGAGAGUUGGCAUAUUCUUCGUUGCAGCUAGACAGGCAGACGGAUAUCUCUAGUGUUUGGCUCACUUGCUUUGUGAUGCCUGUCAGCCAAUACUCAUCGCAGCAUUAAAUCGAAGAUAAGAGCCGAAAGCUACUACGUUGAAUUGCGUGAUUGUUCACAUGAAAUUUUCUUAAGAACGCGCCACGGACAAUACGAGUACAGUUGAGCGACUAAAUGAGAUAAAUGCAAGAAACAGCGUUGUACCUUUGUAUCCCUUCAGCUCUUUCCUCGAUGGUCUUUGAACAGCUACAAAAACCUUAAGUGCUGCAGUGAGUACGAAGCCGCUACCUCCCCAGU